CCUACGGGUGGCAGCAGUGGGGAAUAUUGGACAAUGGGGGCAACCCUGAUCCAGCCAUGCCGCGUGUGUGAAGAAGGCCCUCGGGUUGUAAAGCACUUUCAGUGAGGAAGAACGCCUGGUGGUUAAUACCCAUCAGGAAAGACAUCACUCACAGAAGAAGCACCGGCUAACUCCGUGCCAGCAGCCGCGGUAAUACGGAGGGUGCGAGCGUUAAUCGGAAUUACUGGGCGUAAAGCGCGCGUAGGUGGCUUGAUAAGCCGGUUGUGAAAGCCCCGGGCUCAACCUGGGAACGGCAUCCGGAACUGUCAAGCUAGAGUGCAGGAGAGGAAGGUAGAAUUACCGGUGUAGCGGUGAAAUGCGUAGAGAUCGGGAGGAAUACCAGUGGCGAAGGCGGCCUUCUGGACUGACACUGACACUGAGGUGCGAAAGCGUGGGUAGCAAACAGGAUUAGAUACCCCGGUAGUC
rnacentral:rRNA from 1 species